GGGUUUACAGUUUCAUCCUGAUCCACCUUCCUAUAUCUAUUAUUCCUAUUUUAUUCAAAUUUAUUAUCAAUGUUCAUGCAUUUUUCUAAUUUACUCUAAAUCCGAUCUCUCGACUAAAAGAGCCUAUUACCAUAAUUACUAGUUUACCAUCUCUAGUCUCCCUAAUAAUUACUAAUGCAUUAAUGACAGAAGCUUAAAGCAAUUGACCGUCCUAUUCCUAUCUCUAGGCAAUAUUUAAUAAUCAAGAGAAUUCUUCUCAAAACUAUAUUUCCCCGUAUGUCCCCGUAUCAAAAAAAUCAAAAAUCAUGACACUGAAUGAGUUAAACAAUGCAAGCUUUAAAGUACAGAGAAUAAAACCCAAACUAUUGAUAAUACAAGUAUAUGACUAAAAUAGGAAUUUCAAUAUAAGAGAGUUUCACAAGGAUUACAUUGUUCCCCAACAAAAAAGGGUUUAGUUCA
rnacentral:lncRNA from 1 species